AGCCUCCUCCAAGGCGGCGGACCAGGCCGGGCCGGAGUUUUCGGGGUUCAGCCCGCGAGCGGGAGGACCGGGGAGGCGAGGGAGGAGGAAGGCGAGAAGGGCCAGAUCGCGGGAGAGCCCAAUCACGGGGCGAGCUGGACCUGGCUGUGAUCAUUUAUAAUCCUUGACUCCUCCGCUCCGCCACUUGUCAAGAUGACAGGUACUUUAUUUCUUCUUCUUCUUUAUUCAAAAAAAGAGAUUCCCCGUUUACUGCCUUUUUCUGUCAAAUGGGAUUUGCCGGACUGAACCACGUUCGCCGCCCCUCCCUCCUUCCCUCCUCCCGGCCGCGUCGGGUUCGGGAAAGCACCGAGGCUCCCAUGCUGUGACCAAUCAGUGCCUUUACUACUCUCGCCGUGAUUUAGGGGUCAUCCGUGAAUAACACUUCACGCUGAUGAAUGGCUCUUGCCGGCUUUCGGCUCUGAUGAGGGGUCUGCCCGCCGCCGAUUGAAAACACUAAUGAACUUACUGCGCCAUUUGAAAUUCACACGCACCAACAAAAUGGGGGGUGGGCAUUUCAGGUCAGCUGAGUCACCCGAGGAGGUGGCAGUGCAAGACACUGCCGGGAAGACGGAUUCCGAGGCAGAAGGGUGUAAUUAAGGAUUUCCACCCCCGGUAGGCGGCCCGUCCUUUGCAGAGCCUCUGAAAAUGACCCGCGCCUUCCUUUCCACAGUGUUCUUUCGUCCGAGACCGAAAAGCGCAAAUGACCUUUGGACAGGGAAGGGAGGCAGUAAACACUCAGACUUCCUUACCAGCCCCUGGUGGGCACUGCAGCAGAACAAUUGUCUGCCCCCCAGGUUCAAGCACCUAGGCCUCCGCCCCGCAUCACCUGGCCAGGGGCGGACCCGGGAGUCCUCCGAAGGCUCCACUCCCCACUUUUACUACUCUUCUUUCCUCUCCAUUCUCCCCUCAGAUUAGCGGCCGGACACUGUCCCUGCCUCGAUUUUGUUUGCUGUGGGAGGGAAAAAAAAAGUUUGCUGCUCCUCCCAAGACACUGGCCACUUUCUACUCACUGAAGUUCCCACCGCAGCGCUGGCUCCCGGCUCCCUAGCUCCCGCCCCCUGUCUGCAGGAAAGCCCUCCCCCGGAGCUUCCGAAACUGCUGGAGGUUCCAGAGUUUUGUAGCUCCGAAUGGGCGACCUGAGCCGAACCGCUCUCUGGCUGGGUGGUCGGCGGGAUCCUUCAGGCUCCUUUCGGGUCCGGGACGGGGCGGCGGCAGAGGUGGGGCGUGCGUGCUUGGGGCUGCCGAGUGAGUGCGGCUCCCUGGUGCGCGCCCGAGCAUCUCCCCGCCCUCUCCUGGGACCAGCAGUCUGCCCGUGGAGGGCUAGGAGCCCGCGACCAGGCCUGCCCCGGCCGUCGCCAACCUGUCCUUGGAAGCGUGGCGGAGACUGGUGCGCUCUCAGCCUCGUCGCGCCAGCCGCCUCGCGCCACCCUCCACUUUCAGCUUCAGAGCAGAGGAUUCCGCCGACCUCCACCUGUACCUGUACUCGGCCGUUAGGAAAUCCACUUGCAUUUUUAACUACCGUGCAGAACCAGAAACAGAUCGAGCACUGGGAGAACAAGGACGACGCCUCCUAGGAAAGCCUGAACCUUUAUGUUAGUUUAUCCAAAGUUUGGGCUAGAAGUGAGGAGAAUCCCUAAACUCGAGGUGGUGUGCCCAGACCCACAGCCCGUGUUCCCGAAGUUGCUAAGUGCCCGAGCGCAGCGCGUUAAGUAGAGAAGUCUUGGUAGUAAGCGAACCCGACCCGGCUCUCGGGGCGCUAGUGACGGAAAGCAGCACGCAUAUCUUUGCGGGAAGAAUCUAGAGUCGCCCUGGGAUAGAUCCAUCUCCUUCUGCCACUGAAUUUCACACUUGAAAAAGAUAAGGUCAUGGGGGCGGAUGAAUGAUAUCCCUCACUCAUUUAGCCAUUCUUAUUAUUAUAUAAAAAAAAGGCUUGUCAAUUAUGAAGGUGUGUCCCAGAUAUUACAUGAAGAUCAUGCAAACUACUUGAAAUUUGAAUCCGGACAUGAUCGUAAGGAAACUCUUUCAUAAAGCACUUUUGUGGCCUAGUUCCCACACACACACAAAAGUAUUAGGUCUUUAAAACUUUUCCAAGUAGUAAGUGAGACUCCCUCUUACUGUCUACGAAUACACAAUAAAGAGAUGAGACACUGCCCCAAUCCUAAAGAGGCCAGAACUGAAGUGCUACAUUGUGUGAGUUAGGGGAUGCUUCUUUUUUCCAGCUCUUUUUUCUAGAAUCCUCAUUACAGCUAACGCUGGUAAUAAAGGUAGGAAAACAAUAGAACUCAUAAAACUUAGAAAUGGUAAUAAAUCUUGGCUCCUGUCUCUAGCCCAGUUCCUUCUUACAUGAGAUUCAAAGUUUUUCAGUAUGCAAUGCUGAACGUUCACACUAUGGUUGCAAAAUAGAAAAAAAUACUCUAGAACUCAUUAAUACGGCCCUGCGCACUCUAUGCCAGGCGUCGCUGGUGGACAAAGCGCGCAGGGGUCCUCCUCUACGUCUGCCUGCGCCUGUAAUCCAGGCAGCUUACGUGUGUUAAAUUUGGGUCUCUCUCUGUCUCUCACACAAAGAAGUUCCAUCAUUUGAGGCCGUUAGGAAAAGCUGAUGUUGUGCAGUGCCAAACUACCACACGCUUCCUCCUUCGGAUGAAUCCCUGGAAAGCAGAGAGGCAGCUCGCUACGUGACCAUCAUGCUUUUUACCUCACUGAGCUGUUGUCAAGAGAGGGCGGGGAUGGCGGGCAGCUCACGUCGUGCCCUCCGCAGCAAUAAAAACUGGAGCGGGAGAAGAAAUGCAAGACAUCGCUGUCUGUUUUGCAAGCCUCUGGCCGCUCUCAGCAAACUCUGCCCGGCGCGGCUGGUGACUUUGCGGUGUGAACGCAGCCGGUCGUGCUCGGGAUAAUGGGACCGAGCUGGCGGCAUCGCCCUCCCGUGGGCCCCUCUUGCCACACAGAUGCGCAGCUCUCCAAAAGGAAAAUGUGGCCCAGCAACCCUCGCCUAGCCCUAGUCCUAGGAAUGCAUGCCUGGGGCCUUUGGAAGCCUCUCAAAGGGCUGGGGGGCGGGGGGGAGGGAUAUAAUGGGCCGAACCUCUGGAUUCAUUUUGGGGAAGAGGAGACAGGUUCUUGCCCCACUACUGAGGCAAGGCCAACAGCACCCUGCCCUGCUGCUCCACCGCCUCCCCGCGGGUCAAGUCUCAGCCGAGUGUCGCUGCCCACCUGAAGGUGACACCUGUCCAUUUUAGUCAGCAUCACAUGCGCCUUCCCUUUCUCCCCUUUGGGGUCUGUCCGUUUUCUCCUCCUGUCCUAAAGAGCCAGCUUGGAACUGAAGGGGCCGGGUAGCAGCUGUUUGUGCCUCUUGCCCGUGCAGACUCGAGGGUCUCCGCAGCCACUUCCUCCUUUAACACGCGAGGCUUUCAGGCGUGCAGAAGGGGACCGCCGGGUCAGGCAGGUAUUAGGCUCUCCAAGGACACUUGUGGACAUCACUGGAGUUUACCUAUUGUUUGGACUUUAUUACAUCUGCUUUAGCAAACGGAGGCAUGAGCGGCCUGUCUGCUGGGUUCAAACCCAGUUGCUGCCCCGGCUGCAACCUCUCCCACUCAAGAGACCCUAGGAACGAUGAGGAACGGGGUAGAAAUGACCAGGGGAGCCAAAUCUCAGGUACCGAGACCUUCCAGCUCACCCCUCAGGCUCAGGAAAGCCAAUAACCCACAUAUGCCCAAAAGGAGCUUAUGUCUCAACUGAGAACAGCAAAUAGGUGAUGGGCCACUUUAGAACAGAGGCUAAAGGCUGGUAGCCACUGAGCAAAACCCAAAUUCUAGGCACCUGAGGUGUUUCCCUUACACAAGUGCCUUCACAGGUAGCAAGCAAUUAAUCUGCAACAGUGAACAACACUAAAACUUAAAUUUUACAUGGAAGUCUCUCAAGUAGACAAAGUUAUUAUUGGGUGGGGUUUUCCCCCCACUGGCAAAAAAAUAACUUAUCCCUUGGCUGUUAGAUUGAGGGAACUAUAAAACAAAUAUUUUAAUUCGAUCACUGACAAAGUCAUAAAAUUCAAUGACUGUUUGUAGAGGAAAACAUGCUUUCAUUAUCUUAAUUAAAGCAAGAUAAGCCUCUCUCAAUGUGCAUGCAUUUUGGAGCCACUGAAUGGACUGGUGAUGAGACGAAGCAACCUUUAAUUGGGACCAUGCUUCUCCAGUACAUUCGUUUGUAUUCCAUGGUGUAAACCGGGCCUUACGCGUGGCUCCGACCUUCGGUGGAAAUGCAUUUGCGUAGCACCACCCAGGGGCUCCCUUGCUUUGGCUAGAGCCUCAUAAAAGACCCCAGGUUUUGCGAAGGAUUUUGAACACCAGCGUCUUUUAACAUGUGGAACUUUCGGUUUUGGUUUAGCUCUGUGAACGUAUUUAAAACUUGCUACAUUAUUCCACAGUGAAAGUUGGAACCUUUUUAAGAGUUAUCAUAGAGUGCCUUUUAACAUCUGUCAUAUUUUCUAUAAACAACUUUUCAGUGAGAAGCGUAUAUAGUGUACUCGAGGUAGGCAUUAGCUGCUGGCAAGGUUUAUGAUACAAUAGUGACACUACAGGACAAUUUUUUAGUCAAACAACACCCGUUAGAUAUUUCAGGGUCCAGCUUAUAUGUUAACUUGUAAAUAUAGGUUAAAAAUAUAGGUAUCAAGUGACUAAAUUCAGUAUCAGACAAAUUGAACAUCUUUUUAUUUCCCAGAAGUGCCCUACUCUUUCUCCUCCCUUUGGUGACCUCUUAGUCUGGAAUGCUCUGCAUCCGGGGCCCCUGGAACACAUAGUUUUUAAAGUACCUAUUAGUGAUACUCUCCUCCCGUUGGCAGUGCUUCCACUGUGUUUUCUGCAUGUAAUAAAGGAUGGCACUGUUUUUUGCAUAGGUCUUUCCUAAUAGCUGAGCACUCUUGGAGUGUAGGGGCUCAACCUUAUGCCUCUUUGGACACACAAGCCUAGCCCAUGGGCUGGCAUAUAGGAGCUGCUCAAUAAAUGUUUGUUGAACGAAUGAGUGGAUACACGAAUAAAAUAUUUUCAUUGUCUUUAGCCCCUCUGACUUUCUUUUUUAAACAGGGGUAUGUCAUAAAUAAAAUUUACCUUGAAAAUGCAUUUAAGUACACUGUUCUACUUCUCUGACCAUGAAGUUUUUAAUGGGACAUCGUUUUAAAAUUCUGGUCAUUACAACGAACCACUUUUGACCUUGGUUGACUUUUCUCAGAAUCAUAAUGCGAAGUAAAGACAAAAACAAUGAGAAAAGGCAAAGAGAUCAAAUUUUGGUUUUCUCU
rnacentral:lncRNA from 1 species